rnacentral:rRNA from 1 species
GAUGAACGCUAGCUACAGGCUUAACACAUGCAAGUCGCGGGGCAGCAUGGAUGUCCUUUCGGGGACAUCUGAUGGCGACCGGCGUACGGGUGAGUAACGCGUAUCCAACCUGCCCUUUACAACGGGACAGCCCGUCGAAAGGCGGAUUAAUACCGUAUGUUGUCAUGUUGAUGCAUAUUUUCAUGACCAAAGGCUUCGGCCGGUAAAGGAUGGGGAUGCGUCUGAUUAGCUUGCCGGCGGGGUAACGGCCCACCGGGGCGACGAUCAGUAGGGGUUCUGAGAGGAAGGUCCCCCACACUGGUACUGAGACACGGACCAG